rnacentral:rRNA from 1 species
AGUGAACGCUGGCGGUAGGCCUAACACAUGCAAGUCGAACGGCAGCACAGUAAGAGCUUGCUCUUACGGGUGGCGAGUGGCGGACGGGUGAGGAAUACAUCGGAAUCUACUUUUUCGUGGGGGAUAACGUAGGGAAACUUACGCUAAUACCGCAUACGACCUACGGGUGAAUGCAGGGGAUCUUCGGACCUUGCGCGAUUGAAUGAGCCGAUGUCGGAUUAGCUAGUUGGCGGGGUAAAGGCCCACCAAGGCGACGAUCCGUAGCUGGUCUGAGAGGAUGAUCAGCCACACUGGAACUGAGACACGGUCCAGACUCCUACGGGAGGCAGCAGUGGGGAAUAUUGGACAAUGGGCGCAAGCCUGAUCCAGCCAUACCGCGUGGGUGAAGAAGGCCUUCGGGUUGUAAAGCCCUCUUGUUGGGAAAGAAAAGCAGCAGGUUAAUACCCCGCUGUUCUGACGGUGCCCAAAGAAUAAGCACCGGCUAACUUCGUG